rnacentral:rRNA from 1 species
CCUACGGGAGGCAGCAGUGAGGAAUAUUGGUCAAUGUGCGCGAGCCCGAACCAGCCAAGUCGCGUGAGGGAAGACGGUCCUAUGGAUUUUAACCCUCUUUUGUCGGGGCGCAAAAGACGCCACGCGUGGCGUUCCGAGAGUACCCUAAGAAAAAGACUCGGCUAACUCCGUGCCAGCAGCCGCGUUAAUAAGGAGGAUGCGAGCGUUAUCCGGAUUUAGUGGGGUUAAAGGGUGCGCAGGCGGAAGAUCAAGUCAGCGGUAACAUUGAGAGGCUCAACCUCUUCGAGCCGUUGAAACUGGUUUUCUUGAGUGAGCGAGAAGUAUGCGGAAUGCGUGGUGUAGCGGUGAAAUGCAUAGAUAUCACGCAGAACUCCGAUUGCGAAGGCAGCAUACCGGCGCUCAACUGACGCUCAUGCACGAAAGUGUGGGUAUCGAACAGGAUUAGAUACCCGAGUAGUC